GGCCUCUGGACACUUACAAUCAUGGCAGAAGGCGAAGGGGAAGCAGGCACCUUCUUCUCAAGGCAGCAGGAGAGCCAGUGAGUUCAGGGUAAACUGCCACUUUUAAACCAUCAGAUCUCGUGAAAAUUCCCUCACUAUCAGGAGAACAGCAUGGGGAAAACUGCCUCAUAAUCCUCCCACCAGGUCCCUCCCUCAACAUAUGGGGAUUACAAUUCGAGAUGAGAUUUGGGUGGAGACACAGAGCCAAACCAUCUCAAUCGGAGUGCUUUGUUCUCUAUGGCGCCUCACCAGUGGAAUACUAGCCUCUUAAUUUUUUUAGUUACUCGGAAUGAUAAACCACUGUCCCAGCUUAGCAAUGGCUGGAAAGAGGUGGAUACAAAAAGAAGGCAACUAGGGAUUUUGUGGCCUUUUACUUUCAUAGAUGUGUGAUGCGUAUUGUUACUUUCAGUGAACCUGUAAUACGAGCCCAAAAGACGCAAAGGGUUAAAGAAUGCAGGUUACGUGAAGAAAUGUGAACCAAGUGCAACUUCAGCAAAGUCACCCAAGGCGGCACUGAUGAAGAGACUGCUAACUAGAUAGCCAGAGAAUCACAAGACAGCCACUUCAUGAGAGAUCCAGAAUAGAAACUGCUUAUUCCAAUAGGGAAAAAUAUUCACAGUGCUGCUUUCUUCAGCUUCCAAGGAAUGCACAAAUAUAUUUUUGUAACACAAUAUGCUUAUUAGUCAUUAUAUGAAUUAAGCUGCCUCCCUUGCAUCAAUAUUAUAGCUGACAUGGAAGCAAAACUUUUAUCCUUUUCAGAUAGUAUCAACUAUUUAAAUGUGCCCUUUAAUUUUCACUAUAUUAAAUUUAUUUUUGGACUUUAAUCAUGCUCUCUUGAAUUUGCUUGGUUAUUCAUAUCGUAUGUCCCU
rnacentral:lncRNA from 1 species